rnacentral:rRNA from 1 species
ACACAUGCAAGUCGAGGGGCAGCGGGAUUGAAGCUUGCUUCAAUUGCCGGCGACCGGCGCACGGGUGAGUAACGCGUAUCCAACCUUCCGUACACUCAGGGAUAGCCUUUCGAAAGAAAGAUUAAUACCUGAUGGUAUGAUGAGAUUGCAUGAUAGCAUCAUUAAAGAUUUAUCGGUGUACGAUGGGGAUGCGUUCCAUUAGGUAGUAGGCGGGGUAACGGCCCACCUAGCCAACGAUGGAUAGGGGUUCUGAGAGGAAGGUCCCCCACAUUGGAACUGAGACACGGUCCAAACUCCUACGGGAGGCAGCAGUGAGGAAUAUUGGUCAAUGGACGAGAGUCUGAACCAGCCAAGUAGCGUGAAGGAUGAAGGUCUUACGGAUUGUAAACUUCUUUUAUAAGGGAAUAAAACCUCCCACGUGUGGGAGCUUGUAUGUACCUUAUGAAUAAGCAUCGGCUAACUCCGUGCCAGCAGCCGCGGUAAUACGGAGGAUGCGAGCGUUAUCCGGAUUUAUUGGGUUUAAAGGGAGCGCAGACGGGUCGUUAGGUCAGCUGUGAAAGUUUGGGGCUCAACCUUAAAAUUGCAGUUGAUACUGGCGUCCUUGAGUGCGGUUGAGGUGUGCGGAAUUCGUGGUGUAGCGGUGAAAUGCUUAGAUAUCACGAAGAACUCCGAUUGCGAAGGCAGCACACUAAGCCGUAACUGACGUUCAUGCUCGAAAGUGUGGGUAUCAAACAGGAUUAGAUACCCUGGUAGUCCACACGGUAAACGAUGGAUACUCGCUGUUGGCGAUAUACGGUCAGCGGCUUAGCGAAAGCGUUAAGUAUCCCACCUGGGGAGUACGCCGGCAACGGUGAAACUCAAAGGAAUUGACGGGGGCCCGCACAAGCGGAGGAACAUGUGGUUUAAUUCGAUGAUACGCGAGGAACCUUACCCGGGCUUAA